UACAGAGGGUGCGAGCGUUGUUCGGAAUUAUUGGGCGUAAAGGGCGCGUAGGCGGUGCGGUAAGUCACCCGUGAAAUCUCCUGGCUCAACUGGGAGCUUGCAGGCGAAACUGCCGUGCUGGAGUGUGGGAGAGGUGCGUGGAAUUCCCGGUGUAGCGGUGAAAUGCGUAGAUAUCGGGGAGGAACACCUGUGGCGAAAGCGGCGCACUGGACCACAACUGACGCUGAGGCGCGAAAGCGUGGGGAGCGAACAGG
rnacentral:rRNA from 1 species